rnacentral:rRNA from 1 species
AUUGAACGCUGGCGGCGUGCCUAACACAUGCAAGUCGAGCGGUAACAGGUGCAGCAAUACAUGCUGACGAGCGGCGAACGGGUGAGUAAUGCUUCGGAAUCUGCCCAUGUAGUGGGGAAUAACCAGCCGAAAGGUUGGCUAAUACCGCAUACGACCCUUGCCCACAAGGCAAAGGUGAAAGCAGGGGAUCGCAAGACCUUGCGCUAUUGGANGAGCCGAAGUCGGAUUAGCUAGUUGGUAGGGUAACGGCCUACCAAGGCGACGAUCCGUAGCUGGUCUGAGAGGACGACCAGCCACACUGGGACUGAGACACGGCCCAGACUCCUACGGGAGGCAGCAGUGGGAAUAUUGGACAAUGGGGCAACCCUGAUCCCAGCGACGCCGCGUGUGUGAAGAAGGCCC